rnacentral:tRNA from 1 species
GGGGUAUAGCUCAGCUGGCUAGAGCACUUGCCUUGCAAGCAAGGGGUCAAGAGUUCGAAUCUCUUUAUCUCC